rnacentral:rRNA from 1 species
GACGAACGCUGGCGGCGUGCCUAAUACAUGCAAGUCGAACGAGAGCGCCCGGUGCUUGCACUGGUCAAUCUAGUGGCGAACGGGUGAGUAACACGUGGGUAACCUGCCCAUCAGAGGGGGAUAACAUCCGGAAACGGAUGCUAAAACCGCAUAGGUCUUCGAGCCGCAUGGCUUGAAGAGGAAAAGAGGCGCACGCUUCUGCUGAUGGAUGGACCCGCGGUGCAUUAGCUAGUUGGUGAGGUAACGGCUCACCAAGGCCGUGAUGCAUAGCCGACCUGAGAGGGUGAUCGGCCACAUUGGGACUGAGACACGGCCCAAACUCCUACGGGAGGCAGCAGUAGGGAAUCUUCCGCAAUGGACGCAAGUCUGACGGAGCAACGCCGCGUGAGUGAAGAAGGUUUUCGGAUCGUAAAACUCUGUUGUUAGAGAAGAACAAGUGCUAGAGUAACUGUUAGCGCCUUGACGGUAUCUAACCAGAAAGCCACGGCUAACUACGUG